AUUGAACGCUGGCGGCAUGCCUUACACAUGCAAGUCGAACGGUAACAGGUCUUCUGCUUCUUCUUACUGGCGAACGGUUGCGUAAUACAUCGGAACGUACCCAGACGUACGUUUUAGUGAGGCGAAAGGUUUGCUAAUAUCCCAUACUAUCUCAUGCUGCCUGCAGGUGUCCGCAGGGCCUCUUGCGUCUUUGCCCGCUGAUGUCAGACUAUGUAGUUGGUGGGAUAAAAGCUUACCAAGCCGACGAUCUGUAGCUGGUCUGAGAGGAUGACCAGCCACACUGGAACUGAGACACGGCCCAGACUCCUACGGGAGGCAGCAGUGGGGAAUAUUGGACAAUGGGCGAAAGCCUGAUCCAGCAAUGCCGCGUGGAGGAAGAAGGCCUUCGGGUUGUAAAGUGCUUUUGUAGGGAACGAAAAGCAUCAGGCUAAUACCUGGCGGACAUGACGGUACCGUAAGAAUAAGCACCGGCUAACUACGUG
rnacentral:rRNA from 1 species